rnacentral:rRNA from 1 species
GGUUAAGCGACUAAGCGUACACGGUGGAUGCCCUGGCAGUCAGAGGCGAUGAAGGACGUGCUAAUCUGCGAAAAGCGUCGGUAAGGUGAUAUGAACCGUUAUAACCGGCGAUGUCCGAAUGGGGAAACCCAGUGCAAUUCGUUGCACUAUCGUUAACUGAAUACAUAGGUUAACGAGGCGAACCGGGGGAACUGAAACAUCUAAGUAGCCCGAGGAAAAGAAAUCAACCGAAAUUCCCCCAGUAGCGGCGAGCGAACGGGGAGCAGCCCAGAGUCUGAAUCAGCUUGUGUGUUAGUGGAACGGUCUGGAAAGUCCGACGGUACAGGGUGAUAGUCCCGUACACCAAAAUGCACAGGCUGUGAACUCGAAGAGUAGGGCGGGACACGUGGUAUCCUGUCUGAAUAUGGGGGGACCAUCCUCCAAGGCUAAAUACUCCUGACUGACCGAUAGUGAACCAGUACCGUGAGGGAAAGGCGAAAAGAACCCCGGCGAGGGGAGUGAAAAAGAACCUGAAACCGUGUACGUACAAGCAGUGGGAGCACCUUCGGGUGUGACUGC